rnacentral:pre_miRNA from 1 species
UUUUUUUUAGAAGAGCAAAAGUAACAGAAAAACAGACAGGUCUCAAAAAGACCUGUCUGUUUUUCUGUUACUUUUGCUCUUCUAAAAAAAA